GGUUACUGCUAUCGGUGUUCGCCUAAGCCAUGCGAGUCAUAUGUAGCAAUACAUGGCGUACUGCUCAGUAACACGUGGAUAACCUGCCCUUGGGUCCGGCAUAACCCCGGGAAACUGGGGAUAAUUCCGGAUAACGCAUAUAUGCUGGAAUGCUUACUGCGUAAAAUGGAUUCGUCUGCCCAAGGAUGGGUCUGCGGCCUAUCAGGUAGUAGUGGGUGUAAUGUACCUACUAGCCUACGACGGGUACGGGUUGUGAGAGCAAGAGCCCGGAGAUGGAUUCUGAGACAUGAAUCCAGGCCCUACGGGGCGCAGCAGGCGCGAAAACUUUACAAUGCGGGAAACCGUGAUAAGGGGACACCGAGUGCCAGCAUCCUAUGCUGGCUGUCCGGGUGUGUAAAAUACACCUGUCAGCAAGGGCCGGGCAAGACCGGUGCCAGCCGCCGCGGUAACACCGGCGGCCCGAGUGGUGAUCGUGAUUAUUGGGUCUAAAGGGUCCGUAGCCGGUUUGGUCAGUCCUCCGGGAAAUCUGACAGCUCAACUGUUAGGCUUUCGGAGGAUACUGCCAGACUUGGAACCGGGAGAGGUAAGAGGUACUACAGGGGUAGGAGUGAAAUCUUGUAAUCCCUGUGGGACCACCUGUGGCGAAGGCGUCUUACCAGAACGGGUUCGACGGUGAGGGACGAAAGCUGGGGGCACGAACCGGAUUAGAUACCCGGGUAGUCCCAGCCGUAAACGAUGCUCGCUAGGUGUCAGGCAUGGCGCGACCGUGUCUGGUGCCGCAGGGAGGCCGUGAAGCGAGCCACCUGGGAAGUACGGCCGCAAGGCUGAAACUUAA
rnacentral:rRNA from 1 species